rnacentral:rRNA from 1 species
GAUGAACGCUGGCGGCGUGCCUAAUACAUGCAAGUCGAGCGACUGGAUUAAGAGCUUGCUCUUAUGAAGUUAACGGCGGACGGGUGAGUAACACGUGGGUAACUUGCCCAUAAGACUGGGAUAACUCCGGGAACCCGGGGCUAAUACCGGAUAACAUUUGGAACCGCAUGGUUCGAAAUUGAAAGGCGGCUUCGGAUGUCACUUAUGGAUGGACCCGCGUCGCAUUAGCUAGUUGGGGAGGUAAAGGCUCACCAAGGCAACGAUGCGUAGCCGACCUGAAAGGGUGAUCGGCCACACUGGGACUGAGCCACGGCCCAGACUCCUACGGGAGGCAGCAGUAGGGAAUCUUCCGCAAUGGACGAAAGUCUGACGGAGCAACGCCGCGUGAGUGAUGAAGGCUUUCGGGUCGUAAAACUCUGUUGUUAGGGAAGAACAAGUGCUAGUUGAAUAAGCUGGCACCUUGACGGUACCUAACCAGAAAGCCACGGCUAACUACGUGCCAGCCGCCGCCGUAA